rnacentral:rRNA from 1 species
AACGUGCCCAGUAGCGGGGGAUAACUACGCGAAAGCGUGGCUAAUACCGCGUACGCCCUUAGGGGGAAAGGCGGGGAUCCUUCGGGACCUGUCACUAUUGGAGCGGCCGAUAUCGGAUUAGCUGGUUGGUGGGGUAAUGGCCUACCAAGGCGACGAUCCGUAGCUGGUUUGAGAGGACGACCAGCCACAUUGGGACUGAGACACGGCCCAGACUCCUACGGGAGGCAGCAGUGGGGAAUUUUGGACAAUGGGGGCAACCCUGAUCCAGCCAUCCCGCGUGCGCGAUGAAGGCCUUCGGGUUGUAAAGCACUUUUGGCAGGGAAGAAAUUGCCUGGGUUAAUAGCCUGGGCCGAUGACGGUACCUGCAGAAUAAGCACCUGCUAACUACGUGCCAGCAGCCGCGGUAAUACGUAGGGUGCGAGCGUUAAUCGGAAUUACUGGGCGUAAAGCGUGCGCAGGCGGUUCGGAAAGAGAGAUGUGAAAUCCCAGGGCUCAACCUUGGAACUGCAUUUUUAACUACCGGGCUAGAGUGUGUCAGAGGGGGGUGGAAUUCCGCGUGUAGCAGUGAAAUGCGUAGAG